AAUGGUGUUUAUCGGGCGACUGUAUAGCAAAUACACAGGUUUUAGUUAAAGAUGUUUAGAUUUUAGAGCUGAUAUGUGACCAGCAUGCUCAACAUAAACGUUGGCCGUAACGAUAACGGUCCUAAGGUAGCGAAAUUCCUUGUCGGGUAAGUUCCGACCUGCACGAAUGG
rnacentral:rRNA from 1 species